GUAAACCAACUCCACGAGAUCAUGAUCUAAAGCCUUUCUCCUAGUUGGAUGUGUCAAAAUUCUCUAAGAGCCUCAAAGGGGAAAUCGAGCAAUGCUCACACCCAAAUAGAUUAUCAGAUUAGGACAAGUAAAGUGUGGAAAGGCCAGCACAAGUGUCCAAGUUCAAAGGGAACUCAAGGUCCUGAGGCAAGGCUAACAAGUGGGGGGAGAACUUAGAGACUAAGAGAGAGUGCAAGUGUAGAAGCAUAAUUCUGAGAGGGGAAAAGGGGAAAAGAGAGGGAGAUAAAUACACAUUACAUAUUGCCAUGCUCCAAUCCAUAGCUCAAAUACACAAGGGGGUGGGGAAUAGGGAUUCAUAAUAGAAACAUGCAGAAAGAAAUUAGCAUGCUAAUUUGAGUGUUGAACUAUACAGAAAAAGUAAGUAGACGUGGAUACAAAAAACAGUAAGUAAACACAUUGUUGUGGUGCUUAAAGCUUAAAUCAAGGUUUACAAGUUUUGAAGAAAACAAAAAGGGGAAAGGCAGUAUGUCUUGUAAAUAGGCCACAAUGCAGACAAGAAGAGAGAAUACUAUUGUGCAUAAGUGUGAAUUUAGAAAGAUUAUUGAAUAAGUGUGUCAAUAACAGAGUCAUGCUUAUAUAGUUUUAAAAUCAGACAGAAAUAAAGUAAGAAAACACUUAAGGAACUGAAUAUCAAUUUAGAAUCAAACACACAAGACUUCCUUUAAUUAAGGAAUUCAGAUUCAAACGUAAAAUUUAUUUAAGGAAAGAAAUCAAACAAGCUUUGUGCAAAGUAGGUAAUUAGGGGUAAAUACAUGGAAGUUUAUUUUAGGGGUAGAGCUUUAAAAUACACGGUUGCAUAAAUAAGGUAAGAAAAAAAUCAAUUAGUAGCUAGUAGAUCAAGGAUCAGAGAUUUUGUAAUCACUGGUCCAUGGAUGAACCAAGUCAAAAAAGUUAAAGAAAGUCAAAUAACUUAAAUCUAGUCAUAGGGAAAUCAGUAGACAAGAAAAGAAAUCAAUCAAACCUAUAUAGAAGGGAGUCUGAAACUAAUCAAAAUUUAAAAGCCAUUUUAGAGGGGAAGUCUAGCACAUAUAAAUAGUACACAUGCGAGCAGGGAUCAAGUAAAACGUCUGAUAGAGUUUGGCAAACGUCAGAAUCAUCUGAAGAAACAAAAUUGAAACAAUGGUUUUGAAAUUUAAUGAAGCAAUAAAUGAAGCAAUUCCAGUAACUCAAAUAGGUCGAAAAUUUAGGUUUUUUCCUUUUUUUGAAAUCGGGCAAGUUCAAAGAUGAAUAGUCAGCAAAUCACCUAGCCAGGGGUCUCAACACUUGAAUGAACAUCCAAAUUUUAGGGUUCUACCAUUAUGGAGUGUCGAGAUGAGUGCGCAAGUAAUCAAGAAAGCAAAUGAUACUAGUCAAAAUGAAUCAAAGGUCUCAGAAACAAACUGGGACCUUCAAAAUGCCUUUCAAUAAUAG
rnacentral:lncRNA from 1 species